rnacentral:rRNA from 1 species
UACGUAGGGGGCAAGCGUUGUCCGGAUUUAUUGGGCGUAAAGGGCGCGUAGGCGGCUUGGCAAGUGGAAGGUGAAAUCCCUCGGCUUAACCGAGGAACUGCCCUCCAAACUGCUUCGCUUGAGGCCGGGAGAGGUGAGUGGAAUUCCCAGUGUAGCGGUGAAAUGCGUAGAUAUUGGGAGGAACACCAGUGGCGAAGGCGGCUCACUGGACCGGAACUGACGCUGAUGCGCGAAAGCGUGGGGAGCAAACGGGG